AUGGUACUCCCUCCGUCCAACAAAAGAUGUCUCAACUUUGACCAAAUUUGAAUGCAUCUAUACACUAAGUCAUGUCUAGAUACAUCCAAAUUUUGACAAACUUGAGACAUCUUUUGUUGGACGGAGGAAUACCUG
rnacentral:pre_miRNA from 1 species